GCGGGGUAACGGCCCACCGAGGCGACGAUGCGUAGGGGUUCUGAGAGGAAGGUCCCCCACACUGGUACUGAGACACGGACCAGACUCCUACGGGAGGCAGCAGUGAGGAAUAUUGGUCAAUGGCCGGGAGGCUGAACCAGCCAAGUCGCGUGAGGGAAGACGGCCCUACGGGUUGUAAACCUCUUUUGUCAGGGAGCAAGAGGCGGGUCGAGACCUGCUGUGAGAGUACCUGAAGAAAAAGCAUCGGCUAACUCCGUGCCAGCAGCCGCGGUAAUACGGAGGAUGCGAGCGUUAUCCGGAUUUAUUGGGUUUAAAGGGUGCGCAGGCGGAGGCACAAGUCAGCGGUAAAAUCGCGGGGCUCAACCGGGCUCCGCCGUUGAAACUGUGUCCCUUGAGUGCGCGAAGGGUAGGCGGAAUGCGUGGUGUAGCGGUGAAAUGCAUAGAUAUCACGCAGAACUCCGAUCGCGAAGGCAGCCUACCGGCGCGCAACUGACGCUCAUGCACGAAAGCGUGGGUAUCGAACAGGAUUAGAUACCCUGGUAGUCCACGCAGUAAACGA
rnacentral:rRNA from 1 species